rnacentral:rRNA from 1 species
CAGUUGCCGCGGGAAUACGUAGGUGGCAAGCGUUGUCCGGAAUUAUUGGGCGUAAAGCGUGCGUAGGCGGUUUCUUAAGUCUGCUGUGAAAUCCCCGGGCUCAACCUGGGAAUGGCAGUGGAUACUGGGAAGCUAGAGUGUGUCAGAGGAUGGUGGAAUUCCCGGUGUAGCGGUGAAAUGCGUAGAGAUCGGGAGGAACAUCAGUGGCGAAGGCGGCCAUCUGGGACAACACUGACGCUGAGGCACGAUAGCGUGGGGAGCAAACAGGAUUAGAUACCCCAGUAGUCCCUGUCUCUUAUAC